CUCCUCGCCUCUCCCGCCCCGGGGCUGAGAGAGAGUGCGGCGCGGCGGGGAGGGAGCGCCUUAGCGGGGCCGGGGGUGGUAGGAGGAGAAGGAGGAGGAGGAGGAGGGUAGUUUGCCGGGGAAGAGGGACAGGCCUGCGGGCUCCGGGGAGCGGCGCCGCUCUGGGGAGCGGCUGCUCUGGAAGAGAAUCCUUGGACUGAUCGGACUCCUUCCUUCUGCCAUUGUUGCCUGAGUUUUGGGAGCACAGUGAUAGCUGGAAGGAACCUCUGAUCCUUGCUUUCCUGCCCCAAACAGAAGAAUAUGAAUGAUAACAUGCGCCAGUAAAUCUGAAACAAGUCUUCAGUCUUGGUACUGCUUCAUUUUGAGUCAAUUACUACCUUUCUGUAGAUAUCAAUAGAAAGCCAUAAUGCUUUUAUAAAUUCUUACUGCAAAUAACAGUUUCUCCCCAGAAUGUAUGUUUUAAGAAAUCUUGCUUUAAAAUAAUCAUUUUUAAGGUGAUUUAUGUAAGAAAUAACAAUGUCUGUAGAAUGAUUGAUCAUUGUUUUUAAAUAAGCACUUGUACAAUGUCAUUGUCUUAGAUGUUCUAGUCAGUUGAUUUUUUUAAAAAUUUAGGAUUUCAGAAUACUGGGUUUUACCUUAUAUUCCACUAUUGUUUCCACUGCAUACUUCAUUCCUACAAUUCCCAUGUCAUUAUCCUAUUAAUAUAUACAUGAAAAUAUAUGUAUGUUCCUGUGAAGAAAGUAUUUACAACCUUUUUAAAAACAGUUUGCAUCAGCUUCUGUAAGGCUUAGUGUUUUCUGAAACA
rnacentral:lncRNA from 1 species